rnacentral:rRNA from 1 species
UACGGAGGAUGCGAGCGUUAUCCGGAUUUAUUGGGUUUAAAGGGUGCGUAGGCGGCUUAGAAAGUCAGCGGUGAAAUUUUGCAGCUUAACUGUAACAGUGCCGUUGAUACUGGGGAGCUAGGAUUUGGUUGCUGUGGGUGGAAUGUGUGGUGUAGCGGUGAAAUGCUUAGAGAUCACACAGAAUAUCGAUUGCGAAGGCAGCUCACAAAGCCAAGAUUGACGCUGAGGCACGAAAGUGUGGGGAUCAAACAGGA